UGUUCUAAGGGAGAACUCUGUCAUUAGUUCAAAUGCAAACCUGGGUGUAUAUGGUCAAGGACUGCUGCAGCUAACUGGUCAGGGUGAUGCAAUUAAAGGCCAGCGGCUUUCAUUGUCUCUGUUUUAUAACAUAACAGUUGGGCCAGGAUCCUUACUUCAGGCUCCACUGGAUGAUGACGCUAGCAGAAAUGUGUAUG